rnacentral:rRNA from 1 species
AAAAAAAAACACGUGCGUAACCUUCCCUUGACUUUGGGAUAACUUCAUGAAACUGGUGCUAAUACCGGAUAGGAGCUCCUUCUGCAUGGUGGGGGUUUGAAAUUUUCGGCGGUUGGGGAUGGACUCGCGGAUUAUCAGCUUGUUGUUGCGGUAGUGGCUUACCAAGGCUUUGCCGGGUAGCCGGCCUGAGAGGGUGACCGGCCACAUGGGGACUGAGAUACGGCACAGACUACUACGGGAGGAAGUAGUGGGGAAGAGUGAAAAAUGGGCGGAAGCCUGAUGCAGCAACGUUUUUUUUUUUU